GGUCCUUUCCUGUCUCUAGUCCUUUACCUAUCUCCUGCUUGCCAGAAGGGGAGGAGCUUCUCCCCCCGACACAUUUCCUCCACCACGUUUGUUCUGUGCCACAGGACUGACGGUGGCGAAGCUAGCUGAUUUUGGGCUAAAGUUUUUGAAACCAAGGGCCAUGUAGAGUUUCCAGAAGGAGUUCCUGGAGGAGUGAAGAAAACUACUUCUGCCAGACAGAAAUGGAACACCUUAGCUAUCUACCAUCACUGUAGAGACGUGAGAUUGCAAAGCUUUGCAAAAUGUUUGAGCAUCCAUAUCACUUUCAAUUUAU